rnacentral:rRNA from 1 species
UACGUAGGGUGCGAGCGUUGUCCGGAAUUAUUGGGCGUAAAGAGCUCGUAGGCGGUGUGUCGCGUCGGCCGUGAAAACCUGGGGCUCAACUCUGGGCGUGCGGUCGAUACGGGCAUCACUUGAGUUCGGUAGGGGGAGACUGGAAUUCCUGGUGUAGCGGUGGAAUGCGCAGAUAUCAGGAGGAACACCGGUGGCGAAGGCGGGUCUCUGGGCAGUAACUGACGCUGAGGAGCGAAAGCGUGGGGAGCGAACAGG